rnacentral:rRNA from 1 species
GACGAACGCUGGCGGCGUGCUUAACACAUGCAAGUCGAACGGAAAGGCCCUGCUUUUGUGGGGUGCUCGAGUGGCGAACGGGUGAGUAACACGUGAGUAACCUGCCCUUGACUUUGGGAUAACUUCAGGAAACUGGGGCUAAUCCCGGAUAGGAGCUCCUGCUGCAUGGUGGGGGUUGGAAAGUUUCGGCGGUUGGGGAUGGACUCGCGGCUUAUCAGCUUGUUGGUGGGGUAGUGGCUUACCAAGGCUUUGACGGGUAGCCGGCCUGAGAGGGUGACCGGCCACAUUGGGACUGAGAUACGGCCCAGACUCCUACGGGAGGCAGCAGUGGAGAAUAUUGCACAAUGAGCGGAAGCCUGAUGCAGCAACGCCGCGUGCGGGAUGACGGCCAUCGGGUUGUAAACCGCUUUCGCCUGUGACGAAGCGUGAGUGACGGUAAUGGGUAAAGAAGCACCGGCUAACUACGUG